rnacentral:rRNA from 1 species
GAUGAACGCUGGCGGCGUGCCUAAUACAUGCAAGUCGAGCGAACGGACGAGAAGCUUGCUUCUCUGAUGUUAGCGGCGGACGGGUGAGUAACACGUGGAUAACCUACCUAUAAGACUGGGUUAACUUCGGGAAACCGGAGCUAAUACCGGAUGAUAUUUUGAACCGCAUGGUUCAAAAGUGAAAGACGGUCUUGCUGUCACUUAUAGAUGGAUCCGCGCUGCAUUAGCUAGUUGGUAAGGUAACGGCUUACCAAGGCAACGAUGCGUAGCCGACCUGAGAGGGUGAUCGGCCACACUGGAACUGAGACACGGUCCAGACUCCUACGGGAGGCAGCAGUAGGGAAUCUUCCGCAAUGGGCGAAAGCCUGACGGAGCAACGCCGCGUGAGUGAUGAAGGUCUUCGGAUCGUAAAACUCUGUUAUUAGGGAAGAACAUAUGUGUAAGUAACUGUGCACAUCUUGACGGUACCUAAUCAGAAAGCCACGGCUAACUACGUG